rnacentral:ncRNA from 2 species
AUCUCCUUUGCGGGAGAGAGAGGCUGGUUGCCUCCGCCGAAGGCGCAAACUCCCAUAAUCGCUCAGGCAUUCAGAACCGCAAAGGCAGU